rnacentral:rRNA from 1 species
CCUACGGGGGGGCAGCAGUGGGGAAUCUUGCACAAUGGAGGAAACUCUGAUGCAGCGAUGCCGCGUGAGUGAAGAAGGCCUUUGGGUUGUAAAGCUCUUUCGUCGGGGAAGAAAAUGACUGUACCCGAAUAAGAAGGUCCGGCUAACUUCGUGCCAGCAGCCGCGGUAAUACGAAGGGACCUAGCGUAGUUCGGAAUUACUGGGCUUAAAGAGUUCGUAGGUGGUUGAAAAAGUUGGUGGUGAAAUCCCAGAGCUUAACUCUGGAACUGCCAUCAAAACUUUUCAGCUAGAGUAUGAUAGAGGAAAGCAGAAUUUCUAGUGUAGAGGUGAAAUUCGUAGAUAUUAGAAAGAAUACCAAUUGCGAAGGCAGCUUUCUGGAUCAUUACUGACACUGAGGAACGAAAGCAUGGGUAGCGAAGAGGAUUAGAUACCCCAGUAGUC